CCUGACACCUUUGCAUACCGAGUGAAUUUAUUAAUGAAUACUGAAAGUAUUCAAAAUUCUAUCAGUAUUCAGAAAGGACUUUAGAAAAUAUAUAAAUGGAACAGAAUUAUGUAGGAAAUGUUGAAAGAAGAAGAUAGAAAACUAUGCAGCACUCUGAAAGCCAAAGAGCGUUCAGAAAAAUAGCAGUAUCCUGUCACUCUGUUUGUCCUCCCUUUAAUGGUAAGGAAACUUUAUUAAGUUACUACAUAUCUCUAACACCUAUCCCUAAUAAGCAAGCCGAAGGUGAUGGUGACAAAGAAAAACUCCCUGAGAUGUUAUGAAGAAGAAACCUUGAGAGAAACCAGGCUUAUUAAUCUAAUUGGAAGGCUGUUCCAUAACUGUGGAGUUCUGUUAGAAAAAGCUCUGUCCCCUUCUGUAGCCUUUUGUACUUGAGGUACUACUAAUAGCCUGCACCUUUUGAUCGGAAUAGGCAUGAUUGGUCAUAAAAAACUAAAAGAUCUCUCAGGUACUGUGGCACAAGACCAUUCAGUGCUUUAUAGGUUAAUAAUAGUAUUUUAUCAUCAGAGCACAAGUUUGACUGGGAGCCAAUGCAAUGAGGAUAAUAAAGGAGUGAUAUGUUCACAUCUUCUGGUUUUAGUUAGGACUCUAGCUGCUGCAUUUUGGACUAACUGGAGCUUGUUUAUGCUCCUACUGGAACAUCCAGACAGUAAAGCAUUACAAUAAUCCAACCUAGAGGUAACAAAUGCAUGAACUAGUGUUUCUGCAUCAUGUAAUGACAAAGGCUACCCUUGUGAUAUUAUUUAUGUGAGCUUUAAAUGAGAGACUGGUGUAUAGAGACAUGAUGCAACAGAAAGACCGUCCAGAGUCACUCUGUAAUCAGAAAGCUUACUUCUGGCUUCCUGUGGACCUCGUAAAAUCACUUCUGUCUAGCAUCCACUGUCUGAUGUCCUUCACACAAUCUUCAAUCUUGCAGUGGUGGCUCAAUUGGGGCAGUGGUGGCUCAAUUGGGGCAGUAGUGGCUCAAUUGGGGCAGUGGUGGCUCAAUUUGGGCAGUGGUGGCUCAAUUGGGGCAGUGGUUGCUCAAUUGGGGCAGUGGUGGCUCAACUGGUUAAGGCUUUGGGUUGUUGAUCCAAGGAUCGGGGUUCAAGGCCCAGCACAGCCAAGCUGCCACUGCUGGGCCCUUGAGCAAGGCCCUCAACCCUCCCAGCUCCAGGGGCGCUGUAUCAUAGCUGCCCCUGCACACUGACCCCAACCUCCUUAGUUGAGGUAUGUGAAGAAAAGAAUUCCACUGUGCUGUAAUGUAUAUGUGGCGAUAAUAAAGGCUUCUAUGCCAUGCACAGUCUCUAUAUUGUGAACCCUGUGUCAGAGCUCUCACAUAUCCUCACUGCAAGUGACCUCCUUGCAAGAAUUUUGGUACAAGAGCAAACACAGCGACAAGGAUUUUAAUGAAACAACGAGUUCAGUCAAGGAAAACAUCGUCUAUGUCUUUGUCUGAAGUUGUUUUUUGGAUAAAUUGUAACUUUCAGUCCCAAAGGUGUCUACACACAAUGCAAAAGGUGUCUACACACAAGGUGUCUACACACAAGGUGUCUACACACAAUGCAAAAGGUGUCUACACACAAGGUGUCUACACACAAGGUGUCUACUCACAAUGUAAAAGGUGUCUACACACAAGGUGUCUACACACAAUGUAAAAGGUGUCUACUCACAAUGUAAAAGGUGUCUACACACAAGGUGUCUACACACAAGGUGUCUACACACAAUGUAAAAGGUGUCUACACACAAUGUAAAAGGUGUCUACACACAAGAUGUCUACACACAAGGUGUCUACACACAAGGUGUCUACACACAAGAUGUCUACACACAAGGUGUCUACUCACAAUGUAAAAGAAACAACGAUUCUUACUUGUGUUAGGAAACAAAAAAGGUUUAGAAUUUUGAAGUUGAUGGGGGAUACAUUCCAUAGUUCAUAAUAUAAGAUGAAAUAAGUUUUAUUUAUUUCUUUUUUUUUUUUUAAAUCAAUCCCUCCACCCCAUGCGUUUUUCAUAUCUUGUAUGAAUUGCAGUCAUUAGACUGCCUGUACAUUAGACUGCCUGUACAUUAGACUGCCUGUACAUUAGACUGCCUGUACAUUAGACUGCCUGAGCUGCUGAAAAUGCAGAAUGGUUUGAGAACUGGCACCAGAGCUGAUAAAAAAAAACCCUUCCAUUAUCAUACAUAAAUCUACA